rnacentral:lncRNA from 1 species
CAGGGGGAGGGACCGGGAGGUCCCGGAGCCCGGAGCGUGACCGGGGAGGAGGGAGCCGGGCAGCCACGGCGGCCUCGUGCUCAGCCUGUGCCCGCCCAGGGAACCGGAGCCUCCAACUAACUCCGCCCGCCGCCCGCGGGCUGGGGCUUCCGUCCCGUCCCGUCCCGGAGAGAGCCUGCGGCCGCCCGCGCAGGAAAGCUUUGACAUUAAAACUUGCUUUCCCACAUAUUUAUGGAGGGAAUACUCCUGCCCUCUGAAACUUGCUGGAAUAACUUGCUGGAUCUGAAGAAGAUAAAAUAGGAGGAAAGAGUUUUAAAAUCCUGCAAAAUGAGUUUGAAGUAGAUACAAAUAAUGCAUACGAUUGACAAAAGAAAAGUAAUCCAACUCUUACGAAAGACACUUGAAGGGGAAUGAAGGCGCCCUGUGGUUGUUGAGAGGUGAGAUGGUGCACCCCUAACACAGCUUCCUGGAUAUGACGUUAAGCAGAAAAUAGCGUCCCGGGCAGGUGUAUUUCUAAAGUCAACAUCAGGUUCUUGAGUUGCAGGAAUGGAGAGCCAGACUAAAG